UACGUAGGGUGCAAGCGUUGUCCGGAAUUAUUGGGCGUAAAGAGCUCGUAGGCGGUUUGUCGCGUCUGCUGUGAAAACUCAGGGCUUAACCCUGAGCCUGCAGUGGGUACGGGCAGACUAGAGUGUGGUAGGGGAGAUCGGAAUUCCUGGUGUAGCGGUGGAAUGCGCAGAUAUCGGGAGGAACACCGGUGGCGAAGGCGGCGAUCUGGGUCGAUACUGACGCUGAGGUGCGAAAGCGUGGGGAGCAAACAGG
rnacentral:rRNA from 1 species